rnacentral:rRNA from 1 species
UACGUAGGGUGCGAGCGUUGUCCGGAAUUAUUGGGCGUAAAGGGCUCGUAGGCGGUCUGUCGCGUCGAAAGUGAAAACUCAGGGCUUAACCCUGAGCCUGCUUCCGAUACGGGCAGACUAGAGGUAUGCAGGGGAGAACGGAAUUCUUGGUGUAGCGGUGAAAUGCGUAGAUAUCAAGAGGAACACCAGUGGCGAAGGCGGCUACCUGGACCGGUUCUGACGCUGAGGCGCGAAAGCGUGGGUAGCAAACAGG